rnacentral:rRNA from 1 species
GACGAAGGGAGCUAGCGUUGUUCGGAAUUACUGGGCGUAAGGGGCGCGUAGGCGGUUUGUUAUGUCAGAUGUGAAAGCCCCGGGCUUAACCUGGGAACUGCAUUUGAAACUGGCAGACUAGAGAUCGAGAGAGGAAAGUGGAAUUACAAGUGUAGAGGUGAAAUUCGUAGAUAUUUGUAAGAACACCAGUGGCGAAGGCGGCUUUCUGGCUCGAUACUGACGCUAAGGCGCGAAAGCGUGGGGAGCAAACAGG